GAUGAACGCUAGCGGCAGGCUUAAUACAUGCAAGUCGAGGGGCAGCACAGGUAGCAAUACUGGGUGGCGACCGGCAAACGGGUGCGGAACACGUACACAACUUACCUUAGAGUGGGGGAUAGCCCAGGGAAACUUGGAUUAAUACCCCAUAAAACAGGGGGCCCGCAUGGGCAUAUUGUUAAAGAUUUAUCGCUUUAAGAUGGGUGUGCGUAUGAUUAGGUAGUUGGUAGGGUAAGGGCCUACCAAGCCGACGAUCAUUAACUGGUGUGAGAGCACGACCAGUCACACGGGCACUGAGACACGGGCCCGACUCCUACGGGAGGCAGCAGUAAGGAAUAUUGGUCAAUGGACGGAAGUCUGAACCAGCCAUGCCGCGUGAAGGAUGAAGGUCCUCUGGAUUGUAAACUUCUUUUAUAGGGGGCGAAAAAGGGCCAUUCUUGGUCAACUGACGGUACCCUAUGAAUAAGCACCGGCUAACUCCGUGCCAGCCGCCGCCGUAAAAC
rnacentral:rRNA from 1 species